rnacentral:rRNA from 1 species
GACGAACGCUGGCGGCGUGCUUAACACAUGCAAGUCGAACGGUGAAGCGCCUUCCUUUUUGGUGGGUGUGGAUGAGUGGCGAACGGGUGAGUAACACGUGAGUAACCUGCCCCCUUCUUCUGGAUAACCGCAUGAAAGUGUGGCUAAUACGGGAUAUUCUGGGUCUGUCGCAUGAUGGGUCUGGGAAAGAUAUUGUUUCGGUGGGGGAUGGGCUCGCGGCCUAUCAGCUUGUUGGUGGGGUGAUGGCCUACCCAGGCGGUGACGGGUAGCCGGCCUGAGAGGGUGGACGGUCACACUGGGACUGAGACACGGCCCAGACUCCUACGGGAGGCAGCAGUGGGGAAUAUUGCACAAUGGGCGCAAGCCUGAUGCAGCGACGCCGCGGGAGGGAUGGAGGCCUUCGGGUUGUGAACCUCUUUCGCCAGUGAAGCAGGCCUGCCUCGUUUGUGGGUGGGUUGACGGUAGCUGGAUAAGAAGCGCCGGCUAACUACGUG